rnacentral:lncRNA from 1 species
GGCUUUUGCAAAUUCUAGAGUUAUGACCCCAUUGUUGGCAAUUCCUCAUCUUAAGCAUAUACCCCUCUUUUUGAUUCUACUAGAAUCCUUUGGAUUAUCCUCUUCUUUCUUUUUGCCUUUUUGGGUCUAUUUAGAGAAGCCCUUAGGAGAGGGGGACACAAUGAGGUACUUUGUCUUUGGUCAAGAGUUUAUGCUUGGAACCGAUUCAAUGAUAUGCUUAUAGGUCCU